CAAACACUCUUCUCCCACCCCUCCUUUCUCCUCCUCAUUUAGGGAUCUAGGAAUGAUGUGACCAUGUUUACUUUCAUUGUUUUAACUAUACUCAAAUGAAUAGUAGAAAGACAGUGGUAUUUGGUGCCAAAGCCCUGCCAUGUUUUGCUGUGUGAACUUGGAUAAAUCAGUUAACCUCUCUGAACCUCCCUUUUCCCAUCAACAAAAGGUAUUCUCCAUUUUACAGAAUGGCUUUUGGCAGUUACGCACAUGUAGAAGUUCCUAGCUCAGUCAAUAUUAGUAUCUCUUCUUUUUUUAUUCUUUAUUGGACAACUCCACCCCUACCCCUAUCCCUGACUAAGUUCUCCAGGUACCGACCCUGGUCUUACCAGGCUACAAGGUCUAAAAAUCCUGGACAGCCCCCUUGAGACAAUGGUCAUGAGCCACAUACAUUUCUCCCCAAAUAUACAUGAAUGUUCACUGUAGGCUUGUUUGAAAAAACAAAACUGGAAUCAAAUCUGUGUCCAAGGCUGGGUGCAGUGGCUCAUGCCUGUAAUCCUAGCACUCUGGGAGGCCAAGGUAGGAGGACUGCUUAAGGCCAGGAGUUCAAGACCUGCCUGGGCAACAUGGUGAGACCCCAUCUCUACAAAAAAUAAAAAAUUUGGCCAGGUGCAGUGACUCACGUCUGUAAUUCCAGCACUUUAGGAGGCUGAGGUGGGUGGAUCGCUUGAGCCGGGAGCUUGAGACCAGCCUGGGCAACGUAGUGAUACUCUGUCUUUAUAAAAAGUAUGAAAAAUUAACUGGUGGUGUGCACCUAUAGUCCUAGCUACUUGGGAGGCUGAGUGCGAGGAUUCCUGGAGCCCAAGAGUUCAAGGUACAGUGAGCUAUGAUCACACCACUGCACUCCAGCUGGGUGACAGAGCAAGACCCCAUCUUUAAAUUAAAAAAAAAAAAAAAAGGCCCAGCACGGUCGUUCACGCCUGUAAUCCAGCACUUUGGGAGGUUGGGGUAGGUGGAUCACCUGAGGUCAGGAGUUCAAGACCAGCCUGGCCAAUGUACCGAAAUCCCAUCUCUACUAAAAAUACAAAAAUUAGCUGGAUGUGGUGGUGCACACCUGUAAUCCAGCUAUUCAGAGGCUGAGGCAGGAGAAUCGCUUGAACCCGGGAGGUGCAGGUUGCAGUGAGCCGAGAUAGUGCCAUUGCACUCCAGUCUGGGCAACAGAGCAACACUCCAUCUCAAAAAAAAAAAAAAAAAGAAUGAGGCAACUUUAUGCACACUGAUAUGGACAUACAACUUAUUAGAGCAAGGUGUACAGAUGUGUGUGCAGCACAGCAAUAACUGUGUAAAAUGAGGAAAUUAUAAAUCCAAAAUUAUUUCAACAUAAAACUUUUUUAAAAGAUGUGGGGGGGCCGGGUGCAGUGGCUCACACCUGUAAUCCCAGCAUUUGGAAGGCCCAGGCAGGUGGUCACGAGAUAAGGAAUUCGAGACCAGCCUGGCCAGCAUGGUGAAAA
rnacentral:lncRNA from 1 species